GUGGGGAAUCUUGCGCAAUGGGCGAAAGCCUGACGCAGCCAUGCCGCGUGCGUGAUGAAGGCCCUAGGGUUGUAAAGCUCUUUCAGUGGGGACGAUAAUGACGGUACCCACAGAAGAAGCCCCGGCUAACUUCGUGCCAGCAGCCGCGGUAAUACGAAGGGGGCUAGCGUUGCUCGGAAUUACUGGGCGUAAAGGGCGCGUAGGCGGACAGCUUAUUCAGAGGUGAAAGCCCAGGGCUCAACCUUGGGAUUGCCAUUGGGACUGGCUUUCUUGAGUUUGGGAGAGGUAAGUGGAACUCCGAGUGUAGAGGUGAAAUGCGUAGAUAUUCGGAAGAACACCAGUGGCGAAGGCGACUCACUGGCCCGAUACUGACGCUGAGGCGCGAAAGCGUGGGGAGCAAACAGGAUUAGAAACCCGGGUAGUCC
rnacentral:rRNA from 1 species